AGUGAACGCUGGCGGUAGGCCUAACACAUGCAAGUCGAACGGCAGCACAGGAGAGCUUGCUCUCCGGGUGGCGAGUGGCGGACGGGUGAGGAAUACAUCGGAAUCUACUCUGUCGUGGGGGAUAACGUAGGGAAACUUACGCUAAUACCGCAUACGACCUACGGGUGAAAGCAGGGGAUCUUCGGACCUUGCGCGAUUGAAUGAGCCGAUGUCGGAUUAGCUAGUUGGCGGGGUAAAGGCCCACCAAGGCGACGAUCCGUAGCUGGUCUGAGGGGCUGAUCAGCCACCCUGGACCUGAGACGCGGUCCAGACUCCUACGGGAGGCAGCAGUGGGGAAUAUUGGACAAUGGGCGCAAGCCUGAUCCAGCCAUACCACGUGGGUGAAGAAGGCCUUCGGGUUGUAAAGCCCUUUUGUUGGGAAAGAAAUCCAGCUGGCUAAUACCCGGUUGGGAUGACGGUACCCAAAGAAUAAGCACCGGCUAACUUCGUGCCAGCCGCCGCCGUAA
rnacentral:rRNA from 1 species